AUGUAUACAUCUAAACAACCUUUUCUUAAAUCUAAGCAACCCUUUAGUAAAUCCAAGCAAACUUUUAAUAAAUCCAAGCAACCCUUUCGUAAAUCCAAGCAAACUUUUCGUAAAUUCAAGCAACCUUUUUGUAAAUCUAAACAACCUUUUCGUAGGCGUCCCCGGAUUGGCCCGGGAGAUCGAAUUGAUUAUAGAAACAUGAGUUUAAUUAAUAGAUUUAUUAGUGAACAAGGAAAAAUAUUAUCGAGACGAAUAAAUAGAUUAACCUUGAAACAACAACGAUUAAUUACUCUUGCUAUAAAACAGGCUCGUAUUUUAUCUUUCUUACCGUUUCGUAACUAUGAGAACGAAAAGCAAUUUCAAGCCCAGUCAAUUUCAAUAAUUACAGGUUCUAGACCCAGAAAAAAUAGACAUAUUCCUCAAUUAACGCAAAAGUACAAUUCCAAUCGAAACUUAAGAAACAACAACCAAAAUUUAAGAAACAACAACCGGAACUUAAGUUCCGAUUGUUGA
rnacentral:rRNA from 1 species